rfam:Triticum aestivum genome assembly, contig: Triticum_aestivum_CS42_TGACv1_scaffold_177518_2DS
GUACUACUCCCUCAGUCCGAAAAAGCUUGUCCCAAGUUUGUCUUUCAAGUGGAUGUAUCUAGCACUACCUUGGUGCUAGAUACAUCCAUUUGAGGGACAAGCUAUUUCGGACAGAGUGAGUACAUA